ACAGCAGUAGCCGCGGGAAAACGAAGGGUGCAAGCGUUACUCGGAAUUACUGGGCGUAAAGCGUGCGUAGGUGGUGGUUUAAGUCCGUUGUGAAAGCCCUGGGCUCAACCUGGGAAUUACAGUGGAUACUGGGUCACUAGAGUGUGGUAGAGGAUAGUGGAAUUUCCGGUGUAGCAGUGAAAUGCGUAGAGAUCGGAAGGAACAUCUGUGGCGAAGGCGACUAUCUGGGCCAACACUGACACUGAGGCACGAAAGCGUGGGGAGCAAACAGGAUUAGAUACCCCUGUAGUCCCUGUCUCUUAUAC
rnacentral:rRNA from 1 species